rnacentral:rRNA from 1 species
UACGUAGGGGGCAAGCGUUGUCCGGAUUUAUUGGGCGUAAAGAGCGUGUAGGCGGCCAGGUAGGUCAGCUGUGAAAACUCGAGGCUCAACCUCGAGACGCCGGUUGAAACCAUCUGGCUAGAGUCCGGAAGAGGAGAGUGGAAUUCCUGGUGUAGCGGUGAAAUGCGCAGAUAUCGUGAGGAACACCAGAGGCGAAGGCGGUUACCUGGACAGUUACUGACGCUCAGGCACGAAAGCAUGGGGAGCAAAAGGG